UACGAAGGGGGCUAGCGUUGUUCGGAAUUACUGGGCGUAAAGGGCGCGUAGGCUGUGCUGUAAGUCAGGCGUGAAAUCCCCGGGCUCAACCUGGGAAUUGCGUUUGAUACUGCGGCGCUGGAAUGCAGGAGAGGAUGGCGGAAUUCCCAGUGUAGAGGUGAAAUCCGUAGAUAUUGGGAAGAACACCGGUGGCGAAGGCGGCCAUCUGGCCUGUAAUUGACGCUGAGGCGCGAAAGCGUGGGGAGCAAACAGG
rnacentral:rRNA from 1 species